rnacentral:rRNA from 1 species
AUUGAACUCUGGCGGCAGGCCUAACACAUGCAAGUCGAGCGGAUGAAGGGAGCUUGCUCCUGGAUUCAGCGGCGGACGGGUGAGUAAUGCCUAGGAAUCUGCCUGGUCGUGGGGGAUAACGUCCGGAAACGGGCGCUAAUACCGCAUACGUCCUGAGGGAGAAAGUGGGGGAUCUUCGGACCUCACGCUAUCAGAUGAGCCUAGGUCGGAUUAGCUAGUUGGUGGGGUAAAGGCCUACCAAGGCGACGAUCCGUAACUGGUCUGAGAGGAUGAUCAGUCACACUGGAACUGAGACACGGUCCAGACUCCUACGGGAGGCAGCAGUGGGGAAUAUUGGACCAUGGGCGAAAGCCUGCUCCAGCCAUGCCGCGUGUGUGAAGACAGUCUUCGGCUGGUCAAGCACUCUAAGUUGGGAGGAAGGGCAGUAAGUUAAUACCUUGCUGUUUUGAAGUUCCAAACAGAAUAAGCACCGGCUAACUUCGUG